rnacentral:rRNA from 1 species
AUUGAACGCUGGCGGCAGGCCUAACACAUGCAAGUCGAGCGGAUGAAGGGAGUUUGCUCCUGGAUUCAGCGGCGGACGGGUGAGUAAUGCCUAGGAAUCUGCCUGGUAGUGGGGGAUAACGUCCGGAAACGGGCGCUAAUACCGCAUACGUCCUGAGGGAGAAAGUGGGGGAUCUUCGGACCUCACGCUAUCAGAUGAGCCUAGGUCGGAUUAGCUAGUUGGUGGGGUAAAGGCCUACCAAGGCGACGAUCCGUAACUGGUCUGAGAGGAUGAUCAGUCACACUGGAACUGAGACACGGUCCAGACUCCUACGGGAGGCAGCAGUGGGGAAUAUUGGACAAUGGGCGAAAGCCUGAUCCAGCCAUGCCGCGUGUGUGAAGAAGGUCUUCGGAUUGUAAAGCACUUUAAGUUGGGAGGAAGGGCAGUAAGUUAAUACCUUGCUGUUUUGACGUUACCAACAGAAUAAGCACCGGCUAACUUCGU